CCAUACCACCCUGAACAUGCCGAUCUUGCCUGGUCUAGGAAGCUAAGCAGGGUCAGGCCUGGUUAGUACUUGGAUGGGAGAUGUGCUGGGAAUACCGGGUG
ensembl:rRNA 5S_rRNA 5S ribosomal RNA